rfam:Salmo salar isolate Sally breed double haploid chromosome ssa05, whole genome shotgun sequence.
UGGCUCAGUUGGUAGAGCGUGGUGUUUGCAAUGCCAGCAUGGUGUGUGCAACGCCAGGGUUGUGGGUUCGAUUCCCAC